rnacentral:rRNA from 1 species
UACGAAGGGGGCUAGCGUUGCUCGGAAUCACUGGGCGUAAAGCGCACGUAGGCGGAUUUGUCAGUCAGGGGUGAAAUCCCGGGGCUCAACCUCGGAACUGCCUUUGAUACAGCAAGUCUUGAGUUCGAGAGAGGUGGGUGGAAUUCCUAGUGUAGAGGUGAAAUUCGUAGAUAUUAGGAAGAACACCGGUGGCGAAGGCGGCCCACUGGCUCGAUACUGACGCUGAGGUGCGAAAAGCGUGGGGAGCAAACAGG